CCUACGGGAGGCUGCAGUGGGGAAUAUUGGACAAUGGGGGCAACCCUGAUCCAGCCAUGCCGCGUGUGUGAAGAAGGCCCUCGGGUUGUAAAGCACUUUCAGUGAGGAAGAACGCCUGGUGGUUAAUACCCAUCAGGAAAGACAUCACUCACAGAAGAAGCACCGGCUAACUCCGUGCCAGCAGCCGCGGUAAUACGGAGGGUGCGAGCGUUAAUCGGAAUUACUGGGCGUAAAGCGCGCGUAGGUGGCUUGAUAAGCCGGUUGUGAAAGCCCCGGGCUCAACCUGGGAACGGCAUCCGGAACUGUCAAGCUAGAGUGCAGGAGAGGAAGGUAGAAUUCCCGGUGUAGCGGUGAAAUGCGUAGAGAUCGGGAGGAAUACCAGUGGCGAAGGCGGCCUUCUGGACUGACACUGACACUGAGGUGCGAAAGCGUGGGUAGCAAACAGGAUUAGAUACCCUAGUAGUC
rnacentral:rRNA from 1 species